CUCGCCCUUCCAUCCAUCCUCUCACCGUCUCACCCCCACCUGCUCCCUCUAAAUCUUCCUGUGAUGGCUGAACCGCCGUGGCAGCACGUGGCCUGAAACGCACAGCAUGAAACAGCACCCAGCCGCAACAGAGCACUUCCUCACAAAGAAGAAAAGAAAGCCACACGCCCAAGAACAGGAGAGAGGAGCAGCCAGAAGCAAGUAGAAGUGAUGUCUCCAGCCAUGAGGCCCGCGGGAACAAGCACGUGAGUCCCACGCACAUGGCCGAACCCCCGCUGCUCCACUUCCUCCUGGGGCCCCCUCCUCAGUGAAGCUGGGGCAGACGCGGGACUGGAAUCACAUCCCGGGAUCUCUGGAGCUCUGGUUUCACAGACACUGUGAGCACCGGGUGCCGAGUCACCCAGAGCCUUGGUCCAUGGCUCACGACAAAGGAAGCAGGGUGACACAAGGAUAGUGAUGCCCUGGGGACGGCGCAGAGGCCUGUCUACCACCCAUGCGUCCAAGAACGAAGGCUCCCCGCGCAAGGGGGUCCCCGGGGUGGGGUCGAAAGCCUGCAAUUACUGCUGAUGACAACCUUCGGGCCAGCUCCAUGGUGCGGUUUAUGGAGACUCUGAGCCGGACACACAGAGGUUCGCUGCGGGAUGAAAGGCCAGCUGGAAGGGCAUGAUGGGCAGGGGACGGGCACGGCCUGGGAAAAGGACACAAACGCACGAAUGUCAUCAGUCUGGGCUGGUGGCUGCUGGGUGCCAUCCUUCCAUCCCGCGCCCACUGCGUGGGGUCAAGACUUGUCCGCAUCCGGGGAAGGAGUGACCACAACACCCUGGGCUCCUGGAACCGCUUGUCCCCUCUAAGCUCCCACUCCAGCCUCAAUGGUCCAUCCUAACAUGGUUCCCCAUGGCCCCCAGCAGGAACCAUAAACUCACAUGCCCUUGGGGACCAGGCUGGGGACCAAGGAGUGAAGGAGGCUGGAGGGAGACAAUAGGGAGUGGUGGAGACUGUGAACAACGGGAGACCACAGGCCCCUGACACUGGGCAGCUGUCACUCAGCUCCAACUCGUGUUCGUCAUGCAGGACUGUGGGUCCAGGGCUGCCAGAGUUUUCCAUUGUUCGAGUAAGUCAGAAAGCUGGAUUGUUUUUAAUCCUGAUUUCUAAAUAUUGCAAUUCCAACAAAACAAUAGAAAUCUAGGUGCUGUACGAACCACACAAGGUUCUCUGUGGCUGGCUUUGCCCCUUGGCCUCAGAUGAAGUGGAGCCCUGGUGGCCUGGUCCCCGGCCCCCUCUCCAGGCCCCUCUUCCCUUUCUCCUCCUCUCCAGGAAUCUUGAAGUAGCAGCAACUCCCUGGACACAGCCAGGGAAGUUUCCAGCUUCCUCUAGCAUCCCUCACCCUCGGACCCUCGCCUCCUAGAAAAGCAUCCUGGGAUCCCCAGGGUGAGGGAGCUCAGUUCCCUCCGGCCCCCAGAGGGCCUCUACUAAAAGCAUGCAGCACAUAGGGGGCCUGGCCUAGUGGCAUAGUGGUGAAGUCCGGUGCAUUCCACUUUGGCGGCCUGGGUUUGGAUCCUGGGUGCAGACCUACACCACUCAUCAAGCCAUGCUGCGGUGGCCACCUACAUAGAAAGUAGAGGAAGAGUGACACAGAGGUUAGCUCAGGGACAAUCUUCCUCAAUCAAAAAAAGAAGAAGAUUGGCAACAGCUCUUAGCUCAGAGCAAAUCUUCCUCACCAAAAAAAAAAAAAAAGCAUGCAGCACAUGGGGAUUGAAUUAACUUUCCUCUAUUCUAAGCCACUGCUGAUCUGAUAACAGCACCUAGCAAGAUAUAUAUAUAUAUAUAUCCUGGUUCAAAUCCCAAUUAAUCCUCAAGGCCUACAGGUCCAAUAUGAUGUGGCUGCUGGAAACCUCUCUGAAUUUUACCUCCUCCCUCAUUUCACUCCACAAAAGCCUCACUGACCUUCUUUCAGCUCCUCAAUAUGUCAAGCUCCCUCCUGCCUCAGGACCUUUGCACGUACUGUCCCCUCUGCCUGGAAUGUUUUCCCAGCAGGCCUUGCCACAGCUUGAGCUGGUGAGGUGUGUCAGGGGGAGUUACACCCCUUUCAGCACACCCCAACCUUAUUCCUUUGUAAAGUGACGCCUUCAUCAGCUUCAAACCACCCAAUCAGGCCAACAUCACAGGCUGUUUUAAACCUCAGGGCCUUUGCCCAGGUGGUUCCCUGAGCCGAGGAUGCUUGUCUUUAGACCCUGUCUUUCACCUCCUUGGAGAAGCCUUCCUGUGAGAACUCUCCAGGGCAGGUCUCCCCAAGACCCAACCCCAGGUGCCCUCUAUCCCGCCGCCUUAUUUUCUUUCCUUCUGGAGCGCGUGGCUCCAACAGUCUCUUGUUGAUGUGCUCCUUUCUCCCCAUCCCCUGUGGACGUCCACACAGCCAGGGCUUCACCUGUCCCCUUGCCUGCCGCCUCCCGGGGCCCCCGGAGCACCUGGCCAGCAGUGGGUGACCAUAAACACAUGUUUUGCCAAGGCCAUUAAACAGCACACUAGUCAGAGGACAUUCAGAUUUCAGAAAUUAUUCACAGCCGAGAGAAAAUAUGUCUUCGAGGGAAGGCAGUGCUGCGUCUGAAAUACGUGCCUCCUCGGCAGCCCUGCGUCCCACGAGGGCGCCCCAGGCCUGGCCAGGAGCCACCUCAAUGGCCCCACGUGGUGCCCCGGUUUCCAGGCCAGUCCCUCGGCGGAGGCUGAGUGUGGGGCUGAGGCAGGGGCCCCACAGGCAGCUGCUGGGUCCGAGGGCCACUCCGUGGGCUCCGGGCAAACACUGCCUCGUUCAAUACCCGUCACAGACUCAGGAGGCAGGCGGCGUUGUCCUCAUUUAUCAGACGAGGAACCUGAGGCUCAGUGAGGCCAAGGGUCUCACACCCAAAGGCACACAGCAGGGAAGGCUCAAGACCGGGCUCCCCGUCUGCCCUCUGGGGAGGAAAGCACCAGCUGGCCCCCAGGAGCCCCCACGCCACAGCCCCAGCCGCGGGCCCAGGAGCAGCUCGGUGUGGCCCCGCCAGGACGGCCCCAGAGGGGGUCCCGUGGGAUAUGCUGAUUCACACGCACAGGGCACAGGCUGUGGAGCUGCAAGGCCUGGCACGUGGAUGGCGCUGCUCGCAGGGGCCAGUCUCUGGGGACACGACCUUUGUCCCUAGACCCAGGGGGGGCUGCCCUUCUGGCUGGGCUCCAGACACUUUCUGCAGAAACCAAGGAUUUCCAGACUUCAGUCAGAAGCUGGGAGAUACACAGCGCCUAGGGCUCCUGAAAGGCAGCCGGCCCGUCUCUGAGUUGACCCCAACCUCACCCCAUCUGUAAAGCAAUAGCAGCCCAUCAAGCCACCCAAUCGGGCUGACAUCAUGGGCUCUUUCAUACCCCAGGGCCUUUGCACAGGCUGCUCCUUCUGCCUGGAACAGCUUCUCUGCUUUGUCCCAAGAUUAACUCCUUUGCAGACAUUUCCCCCCCAAAUUUCCCUGACCCCUCCCCACCUCCUUCCCCUGGUAGAAUUAGCCCCUAUGUACCCAGUGUCAGUUCCAUCACAGCGCCUCUAAAACUGGAUCCCAUUCAGCAGUGCACACAUCUGCACCCCUUGGCCAUGUGCCUGACACGGGAAGGGGUCAAGGGUGUGUCUGUCACCAAGAAGAGGCUCCCAUGAUGGAGAGUCCACUGUGUGGCUGCCAGGGGAUGGCAGGCCAGGUCUCCACACUGCCCAGAGAGCCACGGGGAGCCUCCUCCUUCCUCUGGUCUCUCCCCGGGAACCUGACCCCAAGAACGGGUCCUCAGAGCCUCAAAGUGAAGCGCUGACAAGGGCAACGCCUCCCCCGGCCAGGGCUGAUCCUCCUUGAAGACGGUGCUUGACCCCUGGGGUCUCUGUCCGGCUUCAUCUCCUAGACACCGCAUUCCGCACCCCCAGGCUC
ensembl:lncRNA